rnacentral:rRNA from 1 species
AUCUGCCAAGGAUGUUUUCAUUAAUCAAGAACGAAAGUUAGGGGAUCGAAGACGAUCAGAUACCGUCGUAGUCUUAACCAUAAACGAUGCCGACCAGCGAUUAGGAGACGUUGAAUACAAAACACCACCAUCGGCGCGGUCGUCCUUGGCGCGUUCGUGUUCACUCACGGGCGAGGGAGGGCGGCUUAGCCCGGUGGCACCGGUGAAUGACUCCCUAGCAGCUUGUGAGAA